AUGCUGCAUUUCCCAACUGCCAAGAAUGAUGACUGAGAAAACAACAUAACCUGAUGUGUAGUUAAGUGCAUCUUUCUGAACAUGUGUGUUUAUGCAGUGUAUGGAUAGGGGGCAGUAUAUUGGCAUCACUUGGUUCUUUUCAGCAAAUGUGGUUUUCAAAAUCUGAGUAUGAAGAACAUGGGGCUUCAUAUGUUCAAAGAAAAUGUCCGUAAUUUGCACUAGUGGCAGCGUGGCCCUGUCUGCCAUUUCUGUGAUCGACCGACCAUUCACUUGUUUGAUGAGACAACUGUGUAAAUUUAGUUCAGACUAAUUAAUCCGGAAAGUCUUGUAUCUUGUUUCCGCUAACUGUGAUUAAUUUAGAUAAUGUUGUGAAAUUGGUUACUCCAAUACAUUAUUUGCUGCUGCUGAAAUUGGCCUGCCAUUGAAGUUAGGAGUAAAUCUGUACCUGUAGCUACUUGAAUUCUUCAUGGCUCCUUAUCGAGUACUGAAAAUUGGCAUUCUUUAUUUUACACUUUUUCUAUGAA